rnacentral:rRNA from 1 species
UUAGGAACCCGGGAAGAGGUGAGGGUUAUUCGGGGGUAGGGAGUAAAAUCCUUUAAUUCCUCGAGGGGACCACCUGUGGCGAAGGCGCUUCACCAGAACGGUUCGACAGUGAGGGACGAAAGCUGGGGGAGCAAACCGGAUUAGAUACCCGGGUAGUCCCAGCCGUAAACGAUG